ensembl:rRNA 5S_rRNA 5S ribosomal RNA
GCCUACGACCAUAUCACCCUGAAUGCGCCCGAUCUCGUCUGAUCUCGGAAGCUAAGCAUGGUCGAGCCUGGUUAGUACUUGGAUGGGAGACUGCCUGGGAACACCAGGUGUUGUAGGCU